rnacentral:lncRNA from 1 species
UUAUCGCACCUUUGUGAGAUUGAGUUGGGUCACUUCGAGUUGCUGUCGUCUUUAGCUUCAGGAGUCGGAGGUUUAUUUUUGUACCAGAAUUGAAGCAUCCAUUUGGAGCAGGUUCUUAUUUAUCGCUUUAUUUAUUUAUCUCCCGCAUCGCUUUUAUUUUAUUUAUUUCCCACAUCACUUUUAUUUUAUUUAUUUCCCGCAUCGCUUUUAUUUUAUUUAUUUCCCGUAUCGCUUUUAUUUUAUUUAUUUCCCGCAUCGUUUUUAUUUUAUUUAUUUCCCGCAUCGCUUUUAUUUUAUUUAUUCCCC